rnacentral:rRNA from 1 species
UACGGGGGGGGGCAAGCGUUUGUUCGGAAUUACUGGGCGUAAAGGGCUCGUAGGCGGCCAACUAAGUCGGAUGUGAAAUCCCCAGGCUUAACCUGGGAACUGCAUCCGAUACUGGAUGGCUUGAAUCCGGGAGAGGGAUGCAGAAUUCCAGGUGUAGCGGUGAAAUGCGUAGAUAUCUGGAGGAAUACCAGUGGCGAAGGCGGCUCACUGGCUCGAUACUGACGCUGAGACGCGAAAGCGUGGGGGAGCAAACAGG